AAAACACUUCGGUGUGAGUAGAGCGGCGGACGGGUGAGUAAUUCUUGGGAAUCUUUUCUGUAGUGGGGGAUAACGUGUGGAAACGCACGCUAAUAGCGCAUACGUCCUACGGGAGAAAGCAGGGGAUCUUCGGACCUUACGCUAUUGGAUGAGCCCAAGUCAGAUUAGCUAGUUGGUGAGGUAAUGGCUCACCAAGGCGACGAUCUGUAGCUGGUCUGAGAGGAUGAUCAGCCACACUGGGACUGAGACACGGCCCAGACUCCUACGGGAGGCAGCAGUGGGGAAUAUUGCACAAUGGGCGAAAGCCUGAUGCAGCCAUGCCGCGUGUGUGAAGAAGGCUCUAGGGUUGUAAAGCACUUUCAGUGGGGAGGAAAAGUUUAAGAUUAAUACUCUUGAACCUUGACGUUACCUGCAGAAGAAGCACCGGCAAACUCCGUG
rnacentral:rRNA from 1 species